rnacentral:lncRNA from 1 species
GUCUCAGCCAUCCCAGCCAAAUUCUAAUGGGCAAAGACAAAACGGCAAUGGGGGAAAUAAUUUGCGUCGUCAGGUUGGUCAAUUGACAGACCAGAUGGGCAAAUUAAUGGAGGAAAUGACAAAGAUUAACAAAGUCUUUGCCAGAAAUCCUUUUUUAGGGAUAGCUCCAAUUGCAGAACUACCUGUGCAACCGCAGCAACAACAACAGGUGCCGCAGCAAUAAUAGCC